rnacentral:rRNA from 1 species
AGUGAACGCUGGCGGUAGGCCUAACACAUGCAAGUCGAACUGCAGCACAGUAAGAGCUUGCUCUUACGGGUGGCGAGUGGCGGACGGGUGAGGAAUACAUCGGAAUCUACUUUUUCGUGGGGGAUAACGUAGGGAAACUUACGCUAAUACCGCAUACGACCUACGGGUGAAAGCAUGGGAUCUUCGGACCUUUCCCGAUUGAAUUCGCCGAUUUCGGAUUAGCUAGUUGGCGGGGUAAAGGCCCACCAAGGCGACGAUCCGUAGCUGGUCUGAGAGGAUGAUCAGCCACACUGGAACUGAGACACGGUCCAGACUCCUACGGGAGGCAGCAGUGGGGAAUAUUGGACAAUGGGCGCAAGCCUGAUCCAGCCAUACCGCGUGGGUGAAGAAGGCCUUCGGGUUGUAAAGCCCUUUUGUUGGGAAAGAAAAGCAGCAGGUUAAUACCACGCUGUUCUGACGGUACCCAAAGAAUAAGCACCGGCUAACUUCGUG